rnacentral:rRNA from 1 species
GGGGGCAUUUCGGUGAGGCUCGGCCUCUCGAGAUAGAACCCUUGCCUUUUUGAGUACCUUCGUUUCCUCGGCAGGCUCGCCUGCCAAUGGGGACCCCAAUAAACCCUUUGUAAUACCUGUAAUCGUCUGACAAAACAAACAAAAAUUAAAACUUUCAACAACGGAUCUCUUGGUUCUGGCAUCGAUGAAGAACGCAGCGAAAUGCGAUAAGUAGUGUGAAUUGCAGAAUUCAGUGAAUCAUCGAAUCUUUGAACGCACAUUGCGCCCUAUGGUAUUCCGUAGGGCAUGCCUGUUCGAGCGUCAUUCAAACCUUCAAGCUCUGCUUGGUGUUGGGCGUCUGUCCUGCCUCACGGCGCGGACUCGCCUCAAAUCUAUUGGCGGCCGGCACGUUGGCUUCGAGCGCAGCAGAAACGCGAACUCGAGACCGGCGGAUCGGCUCCCAGAAGCUACCCCCAUGAAUUUGACCUCGGAUCAGGUAGGGAUACCCGCUGAACUUAAGCAUAUCAAUAAGCCGGGAGGA